CGUAGGUGGCGAGCGUUGUCCGGAAUUACUGGGUGUAAAGGGCGUGUAGGCGGGAAUGCAAGUCAGAUGUGAAAUGCCGAGGCUUAACCUCGGAGCUGCAUCUGAAGCUGUGUUUCUUGAGUGUCGGAGAGGAAAGUGGAAUUCCCAGUGUAGCGGUGAAAUGCGUAGAUAUUGGGAGGAACACCAGUGGCGAAGGCGACUUUCUGGACGAUAACUGACGCUGAGGCGCGAAAGCGUGGGGAGCAAACAGGAUUAGAUACCCUGGUAGUCCACGCCGUAAACGAUGGAUACUAGGUGUAGGAGGUAUCGACCCCUUCUGUGCCGCAGUUAACACAAUAAGUAUCCCACCUGGGGAGUACGGCCGCAAGGUUG
rnacentral:rRNA from 1 species